rnacentral:misc_RNA from 1 species
ACAAAACAGAAAAAAAGCAUCGGGCUCGUUGGCAGAGCACCGACCAAGGGCAAAAAAACACAGCCGAGGGGGUUGCUGCUGUUUCAGACAAGCAAAAAAAGAAUGCCGGAUCGACGUCGAGCGACCAGGUCGCGAGGCCGAGGGAUCCAGGCGACUCGCGGGAGGGUUUUUCAACUCUCCUGCGCCUUGGGCCGUCGAAGCACCCAAAUUUUGUUUGGGGGGCUCCGUCGCCUUAAGUAAUGACGAGCUCGACCGCGACUCCGGGCUUACUUGGAACGGUGGGUCGCAAAAACAAAACACAAAAGCACUCGGCAUCGUCGGGAGGUUGGCCUCGACGUUAUAAGCACCCGAGUAUGUACUUUCUCACGUAUACCGAUAGUUUGUUUCUUGAAAAAACAAAACCCGGGUGCGGAGAACCUGGGGGUCGGCCGGCGUACCUCGUUGCGCGCCGCGACCGACCGAAUUGGCAUCUAUUACUAUUAUUUUGA